AUUGAACGCUGGCGGCAGGCCUAACACAUGCAAGUCGAGCGGAUGACGGGAGCUUGCUCCUUGAUUCAGCGGCGGACGGGUGAGUAAUGCCUAGGAAUCUGCCUGGUAGUGGGGGACAACGUUUCGAAAGGAACGCUAAUACCGCAUACGUCCUACGGGAGAAAGCAGGGGACCUUCGGGCCUUGCGCCAUCAGAUGAGCCUAGGUCGGAUUAGCUUGUUGGUGAGGUAAUGGCUCACCAAGGCGACGAUCCGUAACUGGUCUGAGAGGAUGAUCAGUCACACUGGAACUGAGACACGGUCCAGACUCCUACGGGAGGCAGCAGUGGGGAAUAUUGGACAAUGGGCGAAAGCCUGAUCCAGCCAUGCCGCGUGUGUGAAGAAGGUCUUCGGAUUGUAAAGCACUUUAAGUUGGGAGGAAGGGUUGUAGAUUAAUACUCUGCAAUUUUGACGUUACCGACAGAAUAAGCACCGGCUAACUCUGUGCCAGCCGCCGCAGUAAAAC
rnacentral:rRNA from 1 species